UACAGUACAAGUUCAUCUCAUCACACCAUAAUGUUGCUCCACACAGUUAUUCUGCUCUGGGCAUUCGGAUGUGGAGUGUUCGGGAGUAUCAUUACACCAGACCAAACUGAGGUCUUAAAGGAAGAGGGUACCAAUGUAACUCUGUCCUGUAGCUACUCAACAGCCAUUAGUGUACAGUGGUAUCGACAGUAUCCCAAAUCCGCCCCUGAAUAUCUUUUAUUAAUCCUGCAAACCUCGGGACGUGUCCAGAGUGCAGAAGAACUGGAUCCUCGGUAUUCCGCAAGACUAAAUGAAAAGAAAACUCAAGUGUAUUUGGAGAUCUCAUCUGUUAAAGUCGCAGACUCUGCUUUGUAUUAUUGUGCACUGACGCCCACAGUGACAGGAAACACAACAGCACUGUACAAAAACCUGACAAACACAUGGCCCAGUAGGUUAGUUUCGCAGUAACCCACAGUUUUCAUCCACAGUUUUCUUUUUUUUCUUCCUUUAAUCCUUGUAAUUUUUUAAUUACAUGAAUAUUAUGUACAGA